AAAACUGAUAUCUACUCAUUUGCAGAUAAAUCCUUCGCCUUUUACUGAAGAUUUCCAUGGGGAGGCACAAUACGAGUCUAAUUUCAUUUUUUCUAAUGUUGUACAUCACAU
rnacentral:snRNA from 1 species